rnacentral:rRNA from 1 species
UGAGCAAUCUGCCCUUCUCAUCGGAAUAAGCGUUGGAAACGACGUCUAAUGCCGAAUACGACCUCCUUUCGCAUGAUCGGAGGUGGAAAGCUCCGGCGGAGAAGGAUGAGCUCGCGGCCUAUCAGCUAGUUGGUGUGGGUAAUGGCCCACCAAGGCGACGGACGGGUAGCCGGCCUGAGAGGGUGACCGGCCACACUGGGACUGAGACACGGCCCAGACCUCCGUACGGGAGCAG